UACGGAGGGGACUAGCGUUGUUCGGAAUUACUGGGCGUAAAGCGCACGUAGGCGGAUUUGUUAGUCAGGGGUGAAAUCCCGAGGCUCAACCUCGGAGCUGCCUUUGAUACUGCAAAUCUCGAGUCCGGAAGAGGUGAGUGGAAUUCCUAGUGUAGAGGUGAAAUUCGUAGAUAUUAGGAAGAACACCAGUGGCGAAGGCGGCUCACUGGCCCGGUACUGACGCUGAGGUGCGAAAGCGUGGGGAGCAAACAGG
rnacentral:rRNA from 1 species